rnacentral:rRNA from 1 species
CCUACGGGUGGCAGCAGUGAGGAAUAUUGGUCAAUGGGCGGAAGCCUGAACCAGCCAAGUAGCGUGAAGGAUGACUGCCCUAUGGGUUGUAAACUUCUUUUAUAUGGGAAUAAAAUGUUCCACGUGUGGGAUUUUGUAUGUACCAUAUGAAUAAGGAUCGGCUAACGCCGUGCCAGCAGCCGCGGUAAUACGGAGGAUCCGAGCGUUAUCCGGAUUUAUUGGGUUUAAAGGGAGCGUAGGUGGAUUGUUAAGUCAGUUGUGAAAGUUUGCGGCUCAACCGUAAAAUUGCAGUUGAAACUGGCAGUCUUGAGUACAGUAGAGGUGGGCGGAAUUCGUGGUGUAGCGGUGAAAUGCUUAGAUAUCACGAAGAACUCCGAUUGCGAAGGCAGCUCACUGGACUGCAACUGACACUGAGGCUCGAAAGUGUGGGUAUCAAACAGGAGUAGAUACCCCAGUAGUC